rnacentral:rRNA from 1 species
UACAGAGGAUGCAAGCGUUAUCCGGAAUGAUUGGGCGUAAAGGGUGUGUAGGUGGCGCCGUAAGUCGGGUGUGAAAUUUCGGAGCUUAACUCCGAAACUGCAUUCGAUACUGCGGUGCUUGAGGACUGGAGAGGAGACUGGAAUUCAUGGUGUAGCAGUGAAAUGCGUAGAGAUCAUGAGGAAGACCAGUGGCGAAGGCGGGUCUCUGGACAGUUCCUGACACUGAGACACGAAGGCCAGGGGAGCAAACGGG